rnacentral:snRNA from 1 species
GGAUGUGAGGAUGCUCUGGCUGUGGCAUCUGUCAUCUUAAUGAUUGCUGGGGUUGAUCUGGCUGAUACGACUGGUGAGGCAGCUGUCCUCUUCCUCCCUCACUACUUC